GCUGAACGCUGACUGCAUGCUUAACACAUGCAAGUCAACUGUUGCGUACGGGUGAGUAACGCGUAAAGAACUUUCCUCACGGAUAGGGACACCAUUUGGAAACGAAUGCUAAUACCUGCUACUGUGAGAGAGCUUUGCGUCCCAUUAGCUAGUUGGAGAGGUAACGGCUCACAAAGGCGAUGAUGGGUAGCCGGCCUGAGAGGGUGAUCGGCCACAAGCGGAAUGAGACACGGACCUAACUGCUACGGUGAGCAGAAGUGGGGAGUAUUGGAGAAUGGACCAAAGUCUGACCCAGCCAUGCUUGGUGCACGAUGAAGUUUUCGGAAUGUAAAGUGAGUUCAGUUGGGAAGCGGUACCAACAGAAGAAGUGACGGCUAAAUACGUGCCAGCAGCCGCGGUAAUAC
rnacentral:rRNA from 1 species